UGGGAAUAUUGGACAAUGGGCGGAAGCCUGAUCCAGCAACGCCGCGUGAGGGAUGACGGCCUUCGGGUUGUAAACCUCUUUCAGCACAGACGAAGCGCAAGUGACGGUAUGUGCAGAAGAAGGACCGGCCAACUACGUGCCAGCAGCCGCGGUAAUACGUAGGGUCCGAGCGUUGUCCGGAAUUNUUGGGCGUAAAGGGCUCGUAGGCGGUUUGUCGCGUCGGGAGUGAAAACACCGGGCUUAACUCGGUGCUUGCUUUCGAUACGGGCAGACUAGAGGCAUUCAGGGGAGAACGGAAUUCCUGGUGUAGCGGUGAAAUGCGCAGAUAUCAGGAGGAACACCGGUGGCGAAGGCGGUUCUCUGGGAAUGUCCUGACGCUGAGGAGCGAAAGUGUGGGGAGCGAACNGGAUUAGAUNCCCUGGUAGUCCACACCGUAAAANGUUGGGGCGCUAGGUGUGGGAUCCCAAUUCCCANGGGGUUUCCCGUGCCGCAGCUAACGCAUUUAAGCGCCCCCGCCUGGGGGAGUACGGCCGC
rnacentral:rRNA from 1 species